GAAGCCGGCCGGAUGGCCGCUGGUUCCCAAGGCAAGGGUCGCCAUAUCGGCUCGGAAGCUUGGGAGCGAGAGGAAAGUCCGGGCUCCACAGGGCAGGGUGGUGGGUAACGCCCACCGGCCGCGAGGCUAGGGAAAGUGCAACAGAAAGCAAACCGCCUCGCCGUGAGGCGCCAGGGGUCAACCCCGGGAGCCUUCGGCGCGGUAAGGGUGAAACGGUGAGGUAAGAGCUCACCAGCAGGCCGGGUGACCGGCCUGGCUAGGCAAACCCCACCCGGAGCAAGGUCAAGCAGGAGGCAGGGAGCCGAGCGUGCGACGGGUUCGCUCGCUGGGUCCCGCGGGCCGGCCCGGCCCGCCAUCGACCUCCGGGUAGACCGCUUGAGUCGCCGAGCAAUCGGCGUCCUAGAGAAAUGGCCAUCGCCCGCCCGUCCGGGCGGGAACAGAACCCGGCUUACAGGCUGGCUUCGGAA
rnacentral:RNase_P_RNA from 1 species